rnacentral:rRNA from 1 species
UACAGAGGGUGCGAGCGUUAAUCGGAAUUACUGGGCGUAAAGCGUGCGUAGACGGUUAUUUAAGUCGGGUGUGAGAGCCCCGGGCUCAACCUGGGAAUUGCAUUCGAGACUGAAUAGCUAGGGUACGGUAGAGGGAAGUGGAAUUUCCGGUGUAGCGGUGAAAUGCGUAGAUAUCGGAAGGAACAUCAGUGGCGAAAGCGACUUCCUGGACCAGUACCGACGUUCAGGCACGAAAGCGUGGGGAGCAAACAGG